rnacentral:snRNA from 1 species
AUCAAGCCCUUCGCUUUUU